rnacentral:lncRNA from 1 species
CACUAAGGUCACUGAGAACAGAAAGCUUGUCUGCUUGUUUGGUAGUUUCAGCUCUGUGUCUCUAGGGAUUCCAACAGUGCCUAACACAAAGCAGACAUUCCUAACACCACCACGGGAUGACUUAGUGGAGUGCCAAAAGAGCAAAGAGCAGUCAGUGAGUGGAAAGCAGGUAAACACGCUCCAUUGGAUCUGUCCAGAAGACUGUUUUGAACAAAGUUUGGUAUUGAUGAGAGUUUUAAGGAGAAGUUCUGGACAUCAGGGGAAAAAUGAAUGGCUUCUGCUUGGUCCUGAUUGUGUGUCCAUGUCUGAGGAUAGCCCACCCUGGUGAAGCCUGAGUCUCCAGCCCAGAUUCCUCUCAUAUCUCACUGCUUGCUGAUGGGGGAAAAGAAGAGACAGACCCACGAGACUAGACACCUUUGUGGAUGAGUUCUAGCCAAAUGAUCAGAGAUGUAACGUGACCAGGUCUGUCCAGCUUCCACCACAGAGUGUCUUUUACUAUAUACAUGAGUCUAACCUAACAUUUGAGCCAAAUAAACCUUCUCUCCCA